AUUGAACGCUGGCGGCAGGCCUAACACAUGCAAGUCGAGCGGAUGAAGGGAGCUUGCUCCUGGAUUCAGCGGCGGACGGGUGAGUAAUGCCUAGGAAUCUGCCUGGUAGUGGGGGAAAAGGUCCGAAACCGGGGGUAAUUACGCCAAAGGCCCGGAGGAGGAAGGGGGGGAAUCUUGGGACCUCACGCAACAGGUGGAGCCUAGGUCGGAUUACCUAGUUGGGGGGGUAAAGGCCCACCAAGGCGACGAUCCGUAACUGGUCUGAGAGGAUGAUCAGUCACACUGGAACUGAGACACGGUCCAGACUCCUACGGGAGGCAGCAGUGGGGAAUAUUGGACAAUGGGCGAAAGCCUGAUCCAGCCAUGCCGCGUGUGUGAAGAAGGUCUUCGGAUUGUAAAGCACUUUAAGUUGGGAGGAAGGGCAGUAAGUUAAUACCUUGCUGUUUUGACGUUACCAACAGAAUAAGCACCGGCUAACUUCGUG
rnacentral:rRNA from 1 species